rnacentral:ncRNA from 2 species
AAACGUUCUCAGGGCGGGGUGCAAGUCCCCACCGGCGGUGAUGGCAUCCUCGAUGCCUAGCCCGCGAGCGCUUCCCGGCCGCCACGGCGACGGGAAGGUCAGCAGACCCGGUGUGAUCCCGGGGCCGACGGUAACAGUCCGGAUGAAGAGAGAACGGGA